rnacentral:rRNA from 1 species
AUCGAACGCUGGCGGCAGGCCUAACACAUGCAAGUCGAGCGGAGCGGCGGACGGGUGAGUAAUGCCUAGGAAUCUGCCUGGUAGUGGGGGAUAACGUCCGGCAACGGGCGCUAAUACCGCAUACUAUCAGAUGAGCCUAGGUCGGGUUAGCUAGUUGGUGGGGUGAAGGCUCACCAAGGCGACGAUCCCUAGCUGGUCUGAGAGGAUGACCGGCCAUACUGGAACUGAGACAGGGGCCAGACUCCUACGGGAGGCAGCAGUGGGAAAUAUUGUACAAUGGGCGCAAGCCGGAUGCCGCCAUGCCGCGUGUAUGAAGAAGGCCUUCGGGUUGUUAAGUACUUUCAGCGGGGAGGCGUUACCCGCAGAGGAAGCACCGGCUAACUCCGUGCCAGCAGCCGCGGUAAUAC